UGGAUCUGGGUGUUGGGGAAGUGGU
rnacentral:piRNA from 1 species